rnacentral:rRNA from 1 species
UACGAAGGGGGCUAGCGUUGCUCGGAAUCACUGGGCGUAAAGGGUGCGUAGGCGGGUCUUUAAGUCAGGGGUGAAAUCCUGGAGCUCAACUCCAGAACUGCCCUUGAUACUGAAGAUCUUGAGUUCGGGAGAGGUGAGUGGAACUGCGAGUGUAGAGGUGAAAUUCGUAGAUAUUCGCAAGAACACCAGUGGCGAAGGCGACUUACUGGACACGUAUUGACGCUGAGGUGCGAAAGCGUGGGGAGCAAACAGG